rnacentral:rRNA from 1 species
AUACGUAGGGGGCAAGCGUUAUCCGGAUUUACUGGGUGUAAAGGGAGCGUAGACGGCAAAGCAAGUCUGAAGUGAAAGCCCCGGGCUCCACCCGGGAAUUGCUUUGGAAACUGUUUAGCUGGAGUGCAGGAGAGGUAAGCGGAAUUCCUAGUGUAGCGGUGAAAUGCGCAGAUAUUAGGAAGAACACCGGGGGCGAAGGCGGCUAUCUGGACAGUAACUGACGCUGAGGCGCGAAAGCGUGGGGAGCAAACAGGAUUAGAUACCCUGGUAGUCCAGGCCGUAAACGAUGAAUACUAGGUGUAGGGGGUAUCGACUCCCUCUGUGCCGCAGUUAACACAAUAAGUAUUCCGCCUGGGGAGUACGGCCGCAAGGCUGAAACUCAAAGGAAUUGACGGGG